rnacentral:rRNA from 1 species
CUACGGGUCGCUGCAGUGAGGAAUUUUGCGCAAUGGGGGGAACCCUGACGCAGCAACGCCGCGUGAGUGAUGAAGGCUUUCGGGUCGUAAAGCUCUGUCAAGUGGGAAGAACCUAUGCAGUGUUAAUAUCACUGUAUACUGACGGUACCACUGAAGGAAGCACCGGCUAACUCCGUGCCAGCAGCCGCGGUAAUACGGGGGGUGCAAGCGUUAUUCGGAAUCAUUGGGCGUAAAGGGCACGUAGGCGGCUUGGUAAGUCAGAUGUGAAAGCCCGGGGCUUAGCCCCGGAAGUGCAUUUGAUACUGUCAGGCUUGAGUAUGGGAGAGGGAAGUGGAAUUCCUGGUGUAGAGGUGAAAUUCGUAGAUAUCAGGAGGAACACCGGUGGCGAAGGCGACUUCCUGGACCAAUACUGACGCUGAGGUGCGAAGGCGUGGGUAGCAAACAGGAUUAGAUACCCUCGUAGUC